rnacentral:rRNA from 1 species
ACGAACGCUGGCGGCGUGCUUAACACAUGCAAGUCGAACGGAAAGGCCCUGCUUUUGUGGGGUGCUCGAGUGGCGAACGGGUGAGUAACACGUGAGUAAUCUGCCCUUGACUUUGGGAUAACUUCAGGAAACUGGGGCUAAUACCGGAUAGGAGCUCCUGCUGCAUGGUGGGGGUUGGAAAGUUUCGGCGGUUGGGGAUGGACUCGCGGCUUAUCAGCUUGUUGGUGGGGUAGUGGCUUACCAAGGCUUUGACGGGUAGCCGGCCUGAGAGGGUGACCGGCCACAUUGGGACUGAGAUACGGCCCAGACUCCUACGGGAGGCAGCAGUGGGGAAUAUUGCACAAUGGGCGGAAGCCUGAUGCAGCAACGCCGCGUGCGGGAUGACGGCCUUCGGGUUGUAAACCGCUUUCGCCUGUGACGAAGCGUGAGUGACGGUAAUGGGUAAAGAAGCACCGGCUAACUACGUG